CAUGGAAAACCCUGAACAUCCUCUGCACAGCACCAUCCAGAGACAGAGAAGCAGCUUCAGCGGCAGGUUGCUGUCAAUGCAAUGCUCCUCAGACAGGAUGAAGAGAUCAUUACUCCCCAAUGCCAUUCGGCUCUACAAUUCAACCACCAGGGGCAAGACAUGUUAAAGUGCCGGGGUUAGGACUGAGCUUAAGUUACCACUCAAUGCACUUUAGUAACUAUUUAAGAACUUUUUAAAAGCUAUUUAUUAAAGCUUUUUGGAGGGUGAUUUUAGAUGCAUAUCAUAUUUAUAUUGAGUUAAAUACUUGUGUAAUUAGUUUUGCUACAAUAAGUGUAUGGAACACUGGAAAAAUGUUGAAUUUCCCCUUGGGGAUGAAUAAAGUAUCUAUCUAUCUAUCAGAGCACGGCAUCUUGGACACUGAGGGAGGAGCAGAGCCUCCAAUCACCUUUAUUCAGGAGUCUGUGGGAGGAGCCACAGGAGCAGUCAGCAGAGGACCGUGUCCAGACAGACAGACAUACCUUAUUGAUCCCGAGGGAAAUUGGGUUUCGUUACAGCCGCACCAACCAAGAAUAGUGAAGAAAUAUAGCAAUAUAAAACCAUAAAUAAUUAAAUAAUAAUAAGUUAGUCAUGCCAAGUGGAAAUAAGUCCAGGACCAGCCUAUUGGCUCAGGGUGUCUGACACACAAAGGGAGGAGUUGUAAAGUUUGAUGGCCACAGGUGAGACGAUCCCUGGAAAUUCCUCUGCUAUGAAAUGUUUCAUUUGUGGACGGGCAGACUAUAUAGUUACUCAUGAUCUUCUCUUGAUGCAUGUGAGAAAAUGCUUGUUUUUUUUUCCAAAAAAAAGGAUUUGCAAUUGAGGAUUUCAAGUUCCCUGCCCCCAUCAUCUUAUUUUGCCAUGGAUGUCCAGUCACUAUAUACUCCAGCCCCCACCAGCAAGGCCUAAAAGCUCACUUUUUUUUUCUGGACACCAGACCUAACCAGUUCCCCUCCACCAUGACUCACCUCCGCCUGGUGAAACUUGUCCUCACUCUAAGUAAUUUCUCAUUUUGCUCCUCCCACUUCCUUCAAACCCAUAAGAUAGCCAUGGGUAUCGCAUGGGUCCCAGCUAUGCCUGCCUGUUUGUCGACUACGUGGAACAGUCUAUGUUUCAAGCCUACAUUGGUGACCGUCCUGCACUUUUUCUACACUACAUCGAUGACUGCACUGGUGCUGCUUCCUGCAUCCGUGCUGAACUUGUCAACUUCAUCUGCUUUGCCUCCAACUUCCAGCUUGCCCUCAAGUUCACCUGGUCCAUUUCCACCACCUCCCUUCCCUUUCUCAAUCUCACUGUCUCUAUCUCCGGAGACAGCGUAUCCACUGAUGUCUAUUACAAAUGCACAGACUCUCACAGCUACCUAGACUACACCUUGUCCCACCCUACUACUUCUAAAACGCCAUCCCUCUUCUCAAUUCCUCUGUCUCCACUGCAUCUGCUCUCAGUACGAGGCUUUUCAUUCUAGAACGAAGGUGAUGGUUCUUUUUCAAAGAAAGGGACUUUCCUUCCUCCACCAUCAACGCUGCCUUCAACUGCAUCUCUUCCAUUUCAUGCACGUCUGCUCUUACCCCAUCCUCCCACCACUCUACCAGGGAUAGGGUUCCUCCUGUCCUCACUUACCAGCUCACCAGCCUCCCUGUCCAGCGCAUAGUUCUCCAAAACUUCCACCACCUCCAACAGGAUCCCACCACAUAGCACAUCUUUCCCUUCCUCCCCCACCACUUUCUACUUUCUGCAGGGAUCACUCCUUUGUCCAUUCAUCCUUCCCCACUGAUCUCCCUCCUGGCAUUUAUCCUUCCAAGCAGAACAAAUAAUACACCUGCCCUUACACCUCCUCCCUCACGACCAUCCAGGGCCCUAAACAGUUCUUCCACGUGAAGCAACAAUUCACCAGAGAGUCUGUUGGGGUCACUUUCUGUGUUUGGUGCUCUUGGUGUGGCCUCCUGUAUAUCAGUGAGACCCGACAUAGAGUGAAGGACCACUUCACUGAAUGUCAAUGCUCCAUCCACCAGAACAAGCAGGAUCACCCUAUGGCCACCACGUUUAAUUCCGCUUCCCAUUCCAAUAUGUCCGUGCAUGGCCUCCUCCACUGACAAGAUGAGGCCACACUUAGGUUGGAGGAACAACACCUUGUAUUCCGUUUGGGUAGCUUCCAACCUGAUGGGAUGAACAUCAAUUUCUCAAACUUCCGGUAAUGCACCCAUAACAUCCCCCUUCCUCCAUUUCCCAUCUCUUUUCCCCCCUCACCUCAUCCUGCCCGCCCAUUGCCUUCCGCUGGUGCUCCUUCCCCUUUUUUCUUCCAUGGCCUUCUGUCUCUUUUACCAAUCAACAUCCCAGCUCUUUACUUCAUCCCUCCCCCUCCAGGUUUCACCUGGUGGUUCUCUCUCCCCUCCCCCUACCUUUUAAAUAUACUCCUCAGCCUUUUUCUCCAGUCCUGCCAAAGGGUUUCAGUUCGAUAAGUUGACUGUACUUUUUUCCAUAGGUGCUGCCUGGCCUGCUGAGUUCCUCCAGCAUUUUGUGUGGAUUGCUCAGAUUUCCAGCAUCUGCAGAUUUUCUCUUGUUUGUCCUUUUUUUCUGUCAAGUUGAGCUUGUUCAUGAGGCCUAUUGUGCAGAAACUGCUGCACCUGAUCUAGGAAAGCAUAGGGAACCACUGUCUUGUUGCCCUUCUUAAACUUCACUUGUACUGGAACAAUGGGAAGUUUAAAAUCAUGAUCACCAGCCCCUGUAAACCCACUAGAUACCAGGGCAUAUUGGAGUAUAAAAGUUGCAUUAUUUGCUGUGUAACCAAAACUAUGUAGUCAGCUUUGAAACUUGCUAUUUGCUAUGCAUGUAUCCAAAAUGAAAUCCUAGGAAUGUAGAAGACAAUGGUGUGUUAAUGAAAGGUAGCUAAGAGAUGUAGAUUAGAACAUGAUUAAGUCACAAAAUAUUAAGAAUGUAAACUUGCUAUUUGCUAGAGAAUGAAAUCUUAGGAAUGUAGAAGUAAAUGGUGUGUUAGAGGAAGCUAAGAGAUGUAAAUUAUGUAACCUGAGUUUGCUAUUUGCUAUGCAUGUACCCAAUUUAGCAGGAGAAUGAAAUAUUAAGAAUGUAGAAGACAAGGUAGCUAAGAGAUGUAGAUUAGAACAUGAUUAAGUCAAUGGGUAGAAACAAUAGUGGCGGAUGAACGUGUGGUACGCAACUAUAGACCAAUUGCAUAUGCUAAUGCAACUAAACCAGGAGAUUGCUAUAAAACAUGCUAUGUCCAAAGAUCGGUGGGCAAUCAGCAACUAGCUCAAUGACUGACUCAGCUUUGAUUUGCAAAUUAAAGUUUAACCCUUCUUGAAGAAUCUUCUGUGUCUCCUAAUCAUUUGUGGGGCAUCAGAAACCACAACAGGCACUACUCACUCCUGUGUCUGAUUCUUUCACAGCUUGUUUUGAUUAUGCACCCUUUUCGUUCAAGUGAAUAUGAAGUAAGAAUGCUGGGAUGCUUGCUAAUGCAUACCCUGUAUGAAAGACACUUCCUGCAAUCUUUGCUGAUGUGUCCUGUACACAAACAGCCAAAGCAGAUACCUUUUUUUUAGGAAGUCCAUCUUCUCACUGUGAGCCCUUUUCUCUAGCUGAGGGCACAAAUCCAAUGCAUGUUCAGCCUUGCAGAACAGACAAAUCCUUUUGGCUGACAAGACCAUUUCCCUUCCAUUAAUUUCAGGUUGAGUUUUGGCUUUACUUCUCAGAAUGGUCACAAUAUUUGCAAGGCUCCUUCCUUUAGCCUUAGUGAAAUUAUGAUUUGUGUUCACACUUCUGCCUAUUGCUGGUGAUGUAUAGUCCCAAACAUCGGGUGUGUAGCAAUCUUUCCGUGCCUUUCUAUAAAUUAAACAAUGUCAGUGAAAAUAAUCUUAUAUUUGUGCCUUUCUUGCAGUUUACAGACCGCUGUUCUCCAUUUAUCCCUAAACAUAUAGAGCAAUUCUUUAUGAUAAUCAACAUUUUAGCAAGCAUGUCCAGCUCACACAUACGCUGCAGUUCUUCCAAGACAUUACAACAGCCACGAAGAGAAAGACUGUAGUCUUGAAAAGCUUUCAUAAUUUCAGAUUUGAUAGGUACCCAAGAAAUAGCCCUUUGGAUGUAGGCAGAUACAAUUUUCUGUUCAUUACCAAAAUGUUCUUGUAGUAAAGCCUUAGGUUUUAGAUAUUCUUUCUCAGGGUCAACAUACUGACAACUUCUGACAAGUUCUAAAGGACAACCUCUAGUGGACUGUUCAAAGAAAUAAAGGCAAUCUAUAACUCUCAUUCUUGCCCUCAAAAGCCCUCAUGAAUGCACGAUACUGCAAUGGAUCUCCAUAGAAGAUUUGAAUCUCUCUUUUAGACAAAGAUGAAAGGUGUUGCCAUUGUACCAAUAAAGUUGUUAUUUCAUUUUGCUUCCUCAUUAUAUCAGUGGUACUGUUUUGACCGCUAACCUCUAAAACGAGAGUGUUUCGAUGCUGUGUUAAUGUCUGCAUGAGCAUUCUGAGCUGCUGGACAAGACAAAUGUUCAGAGUGCCUCAUUAGCACAGGCUGAGAGUAAGCAUCCUGAAUGACCUCUUGGCAUGUUGUUCAUGUUUCAC